rnacentral:rRNA from 1 species
CCUACGGGGUGCAGCAGUGGGGAAUAUUGGACAAUGGGCGAAAGCCUGAUCCAGCCAUGCCGCGUGUGUGAAGAAGGCCUUCGGGUUGUAAAGCACUUUCAGUGGGGAAGAAAGCCUUGGGGCUAAUACCCUCGAGGAAGGACAUCACCCACAGAAGAAGCACCGGCUAACUCCGUGCCAGCAGCCGCGGUAAUACGGAGGGUGCGAGCGUUAAUCGGAAUUACUGGGCGUAAAGCGCGCGUAGGCGGUCUGAUAAGCCGGUUGUGAAAGCCCCGGGCUCAACCUGGGAACGGCAUCCGGAACUGUCAGGCUAGAGUGCAGGAGAGGAAGGUAGAAUUCCCGGUGUAGCGGUGAAAUGCGUAGAGAUCGGGAGGAAUACCAGUGGCGAAGGCGGUCUUCUGGACUGACACUGACGCUGAGGUGCGAAAGCGUGGGUAGCAAACAGGAUUAGCUACCCCUGUAGUC